GAUCCUGGCUCAGGAUGAACGCUAGCUACAGGCUUAACACAUGCAAGUCGAGGGGCAGCAUGAGCUUAGCUUGCUAAGCUGAUGGCGACCGGCGCACGGGUGAGUAACGCGUAUCCAACCUUCCCCUUAGUAGGGCAUAGCCCGGUGAAAAUCGGAUUAAUACCCUAUGUUCUUCACAGCGGACAUCUAACGUGAAGCAAAGGUUCACCGCUAAGGGAUGGGGAUGCGUCUGAUUAGGUAGUCGGCGGGGUAACGGCCCACCGAGCCAUCGAUCAGUAGGGGUUCUGAGAGGAAGGUCCCCCACAUUGGAACUGAGACACGGUCCAAACUCCUACGGGAGGCAGCAGUGAGGAAUAUUGGUCAAUGGGCGCGAGCCUGAACCAGCCAAGUAGCGUGCAAGGAUGACGGCCCUAUGGGUUGUAAACUGCUUUUAUGCGGGGAUAAAGUCACCCACGUGUGGGUGUUUGCAGGUACCGCAUGAAUAAGGACCGGCUAAUUCCGUGCCAGCAGCGGC
rnacentral:rRNA from 1 species